GUGCUCCGCAUUGGUACCUCUAUCUCGGUAGGGUCCGGCCUCUCGACGCUCUUCUGGUUUGACCGAUGGGCCGGCGACUCCCCCUUUGCGGCUCGCUUCCCCAUCCUCUUCUCUAUCUCUGUCGACCCCAUGAUUUCUGUUGAUAGGGCCCUUAUUGACUUAGGGCGCCUCGCUUUUUGUCUGCCAUUUGGGCCUGCGGAAUCCGCCGCCUGGCGUGAGCUGCUUGAUUGUGUCGCUCUGCAUGAGCCGCUAGUGGAUGGAGCCCAAGACCGUGUGCGUUGGCACUUGGAGUCGUCGGGCCAGUUCUCUACCAAAUCGCUCUACAUGGCCAUUGCCCCCUCCUCUCUCCCCCCCCUCUUGAUGGUGUGGUCCGUCCGUCUCCCACUGAAGAUCCGCAUCUUCAUGUGGCAGUGGAUCCGUGGUCGGAUCCCAUCCGGUGUGGAGGUCCGCAAGCGUAAUGGCCCAGGCACUGGUAUCUGCCCCCUCUGUGCUGUCCCCGAGGACUCCAACCACAUCUUCUUCGCGUGCGCCUCCGCCCAGUUCCUCUGGAGCUGCUUCCGCGAGAUUGUCGGGGGGGGGGGGAGGGGUUGGACCCAAACCAACUUCCCCGACUUAUUUGCUGAACUCCAAACGUCCCCCUCGUCCUCCCGCCACAUUAGGUGGCUGGAGGUUGGGGUCCUUGCCUGA
rnacentral:rRNA from 1 species